rnacentral:rRNA from 1 species
GACAGAGGUGCCGAGCGUUAGGCGGAAUCACUGGGCUUAAAGCGUGUGUAGGCGGAUGGGUAAGUACCUUGUGAAAUCCCACGGCUCAACCGUGGAACUGCUCGGUAUACUGCUCGUCUUGAGCCACUUAGGGGCUACCGGAACAAAUGGUGGAGCGGUGAAAUGCGUAGAUAUCAUUUGGAACGCCAAUGGUGAAAACAGGUAGCUGGGAGUGUGCUGACACUGAGACACGAAAGCCAGGGGAGCGAACGGG